AACCAGGGUUGCUUCCAGGUUCUGGGCCAACGCUGUCGGCGUGCGUACCGCCUGCAAGUGCAGCGUAAGGACCAGAUGCGUUCUUCUCUGAUAACAGAGUUGGACGAUCCGAGUAACCUUCAUGACUCCCGCCUAUAAGUCCGGGAUAACUUUCGGGAAACCGGGAAGAAUACCGGAUAAUAUUUUGAACCGCAUUGUUCAAAAGUUAAAGACGGUCUUGCUGUCACUCAUAGUGGAUCCGCGCUGCAUCAGCGAGUUGGUAAGGUAACGGCUUACCAAGGCAACCUGCAUAGCCGACCAGAGAGGGUGAUGGACACACAGGAACUGAGACACGGUCCACCUCCGGUUGGAGGCAGCAGUAGGGAAUCUUUCGCAAUGGGCGAAAGCCUCCCAGUGCAACGCCGCGUGAGUGAUGAAGGUCUUCGGAUCGUAAAACUCUGUUAUUAGGGAAGCAAAUAUGUGUAAGUAACUGUGCACAUCUGACGACCUAUGAGAAGAGUGA
rnacentral:rRNA from 1 species